rnacentral:lncRNA from 1 species
AACUCCAUACUUCUUAAAAUGAAAUUGCUUUGCUAUUUUAUGUAUUAAAUGAGGGAUUUUGCAACCCAGCAUAAGUCAUUCAUAAUGUCUUCACAUUUGUACCAUCAUUAUACAAAUUACUUUGUCAUGUCAAUAAUACAUAUGGUAUUACAGUGUGUUUAGUACUCUCACGCUGUGGUUAAAGGCCUGGUCUGGUUAAAGGCCUGGUCUGGUUAACAAGAAAUCAUGUUGUUGGCAAGAGAGAGGAAUGUCUGUCAUACCAUAACGACUUGGCUGUUCUUAAUGUUUUCUUGUAAGUGAAUGAUUGUGUAGUUACUAAGAAACAAUAGAAAGAGCACGGCCUGUACAGUCCUGGUACUCCAGAUUCACCACCGCAGUUCCUGAAGGACAACAGGCCUGGGUUGGUUUACCAGUAAAUGCCCUGGGGGCCACAGAUGGGAGUAUUGUUCUCCAACUUUUCCUGUUAGGCCAUUUAAGUCACAGCAAGUUCCAGGAUUCCGCUGUGUUGAACUUGUCUCUGCAGUGGAAUGACUCGGGUAACUUGGAAAAUGCCUGAAGGAUGUCAGCUUGUGUUUGGAAGACUGAUCUUUGGCAUCAUGGCAGUGUUUCCCCUGCUUCUGGCUGUGUUGUUGCUGCCCAGUGUACAUGCCUCAAGGUGUGUAGACAUCUCCCCAGAUCCAGAUCCAGAUCACGGAUCAGGCCAUGCUGUGGAGCUCGGGAAGGAAUUCACAGCCACUUGCCUUCUCCGCCAGAAGGACCUCAGAGCUGACAACAUAGUGUGGGCCUAUAGCAAUGGACAUACAGUGAUCCCCCUCCCAAGACAGCUCUACAGGAAGAUCAAUGAUUCCGCGGGCAGCAUCACAGUCAACGUGACGCAAGAUAUGAGGAGUUUCUUCACAUGCACUGUUGACAACCAUGAUACCAUCAUGCAAAGCGGCUGCCGCUAUGGAAUUUUUGCUAGAUAAAGGAUGUAAGUUAGCAUUCUCACU